rnacentral:tRNA from 1 species
UGGGCUGUAGUGUAAUCGGCAACACGGCGGAUCUUGGUUCCGCAGUUUCAGGUUCGAGUCCUGGCAGCCCAG